UGGGAAUUUGGACAAUGGGCGAAGCUGAUCCAGCAAUGCCGCGUGAGGGAUGACGGCCUUCGGGUUGUAAACCUCUUUCAGCAGGGAAGAAGCGAAAGUGACGGUACCUGCAGAAGAAGCGCCGGCUAACUACGUGCCAGCAGCCGCGGUAAUACGUAGGGCGCAAGCGUUGUCCGGAAUUAUUGGGCGUAAAGAGCUCGUAGGCGGUUAGUCGCGUCUGCUGUGAAAACUCGAGGCUCAACCUCGGGCUUGCAGUGGGUACGGGCUGACUAGAGUGCGGUAGGGGUGACUGGAAUUCCUGGUGUAGCGGUGGAAUGCGCAGAUAUCAGGAGGAACACCGAUGGCGAAGGCAGGUCACUGGGCCGCAACUGACGCUGAGGAGCGAAAGCAUGGGGAGCGAAACAGGAUUAGAUACCCUGGUAGUCCAUGCCGU
rnacentral:rRNA from 1 species